GAGAGAGAGAGAGAGAGAGAGAGAGAGAGAGAGAGAGAGAGAGAGAGAGAGAGAGAGAGAGGGAUGGAGAGAGAGAGAGAGUAAUAGUAAUUGUCUCCUGGUUUAUCUGUAACGCUGCUGUUCAUAAUUGUAUUUCAGGUUUUUGGUGAUAAUUAGGUGGGGGUGAUAAUUUAGCAGUAAAUUCAUAUUUCUCUGGGGACACAGCUACUAGCAUGUCAGUUUGUGAGAUCCUCCAACAAUAUUCACAACAAUUCUACAUUAUUUACUGAAUUUGAGCUGG